rnacentral:rRNA from 1 species
AGGGGAGCGUUCUGUAAGCCUGCGAAGGUGUGCUGUGAGGCAUGCUGGAGGUAUCAGAAGUGCGAAUGCUGACAUAAGUAACGAUAAAGCGGGUGAAAAGCCCGCUCGCCGGAAGACCAAGGGUUCCUGUCCAACGUUAAUCGGGGCAGGGUGAGUCGACCCCUAAGGCGAGGCCGAAAGGCGUAGUCGAUGGGAAACAGGUUAAUAUUCCUGUACUUGGUGUUACUGCGAAGGGGGGACGGAGAAGGCUAUGUUGGCCGGGCGACGGUUGUCCCGGUUUAAGCGUGUAGGCUGGUUUUCCAGGCAAAUCCGGAAAAUCAAGGCUGAGGCGUGAUGACGAGGCACUACGGUGCUGAAGCAACAAAUGCCCUGCUUCCAGGAAAAGCCUCUAAGCAUCAGGUAACAUCAAAUCGUACCCCAAACCGACACAGGUGGUCAGGUAGAGAAUACCAAGGCGCUUGAGAGAACUCGGGUGAAGGAACUAGGCAAAAUGGUGCCGUAACUUCGGGAGAAGGCACGCUGAUAUGUAGGUGAAGUCCCUUGCGGAUGGAGCUGAAAUCAGUCGAAGAUACCAGCUGGCUGCAACUGUUUAUUAAAAACACAGCACUGUGCAAACACGAAAGUGGACGUAUACGGUGUGACGCCUGCCCGGUGCCGGAAGGUUAAUUGAUGGGGUCAGCGCAAGCGAAGCUCUUGAUCGAAGCCCCGGUAAACGGCGGCCGUAACUAUAACGGUCCUAAGGUAGCGAAAUUCCUUGUCGGGUAAGUUCCGACCUGCACGAAUGGCGUAAUGAUGGCCAGGCUGUCUCCACCCGAGACUCAGUGAAAUUGAACUCGCUGUGAAGAUGCAGUGUACCCGCGGCAAGACGGAAAGACCCCGUGAACCUUUACUAUAGCUUGACACUGAACAUUGAGCCUUGAUGUGUAGGAUAGGUGGGAGGCUUUGAAGUGUGGACGCCAGUCUGCAUGGAGCCGGCCUUGAAAUACCACCCUUUAAUGUUUGAUGUUCUAACGUGGACCCGUGAUCCGGGUUGCGGACAGUGUCUGGUGGGUAGUUUGACUGGGGCGGUCUCCUCCUAAAGAGUAACGGAGGAGCACGAAGGUUGGCUAAUCCUGGUCGGACAUCAGGAGGUUAGUGCAAUGGCAUAAGCCAGCUUGACUGCGAGCGUGACGGCGCGAGCAGGUGCGAAAGCAGGUCAUAGUGAUCCGGUGGUUCUGAAUGGAAGGGCCAUCGCUCAACGGAUAAAAGGUACUCCGGGGAUAACAGGCUGAUACCGCCCAAGAGUUCAUAUCGACGGCGGUGUUUGGCACCUCGAUGUCGGCUCAUCACAUCCUGGGGCUGAAGUAGGUCCCAAGGGUAUGGCUGUUCGCCAUUUAAAGUGGUACGCGAGCUGGGUUUAGAACGUCGUGAGACAGUUCGGUCCCUAUCUGCCGUGGGCGCUGGAGAACUGAGGGGGGCUGCUCCUAGUACGAGAGGACCGGAGUGGACGCAUCACUGGUGUUCGGGUUGUCAUGCCAAUGGCACUGCCCGGUAGCUAAAUGCGGAAGAGAUAAGUGCUGAAAGCAUCUAAGCACGAAACUUGCCCCGAGAUGAGUUCUCCCUGACCCUUUAAGGGUCCUGAAGGAACGUUGAAGACGACGACGUUGAUAGGCCGGGUGUGUAAGCGCAGCGAUGCGUUGAGCUAACCGGUACUAAUGAACCGUGAGG